CAGCGUUUCUACACCCUACGAAACCCUCAGUCACUCUUCUUCCAGUUGAGAAGAUAACCCUUCUCCCUCUCUCCUCUCUCUUUCCUCUUCUCUCUGCGGCUACCGCUUUUACUACUCUUCGAUUCAAGAUGAAUGUAGAAAAGCUUCAAAGGAUGGCUGGGUCAGUCAGGACCGGUGGCAAGGGAACCAUGAGGAGAAAGAAGAAGGCUGUUCACAAGACAAAUACAACCGAUGACAAAAGGCUUCAGAGCACACUGAAGAGAAUAGGUGUGAAUGCAAUUCCUGCAAUCGAAGAGGUGAACAUAUUCAAGGAGGAUAUAGUUAUCCAGUUCCUAAACCCUAAAGUUCAAGCCUCAAUUGCUGCAAAUACCUGGGUUGUCAGUGGUUCUCCUCAGACUAAGAAAUUGCAAGACAUUCUGCCUCAAAUUAUUCACCAAUUGGGACCCGACAACUUGGAGAACUUGAAGAAGUUGGCGGAACAGUUCCAGAAGCAGGCACCCGGAGCUGCAGGCACGGGUUCAGCUGCAGGUGCAGCUUUGGCACAAGAUGAGGACGACGAUGAUGUGCCGGAACUUGUAUCUGGUGAAACCUUUGAAGCUGCUGCUGAGGAGGGUCACAAUUAAAGUUUUAAUUAAAUUUUGUGUCAUCCUUAAUUUUUCAAGUCUUCUAAGAUCUGUUUUGUCCUUAGUUGAAUGCUGAAUUUGAUGUCUCAUGUGACACUUGAAUGCAUUUACUAGUAUUUAACUUUGCCCUUAAAAGAACCUUGAAAGAGUUGUCUCUGUUAUAUAUGCACUUUGGAUUGAAGGUUCAGCUGUGAAGAGGAAUUGAAUUAUAUCCCUGGUGAGAACCCAAUCUUUUUGUUGUUGGAA